UGCCACACAAUGAGCACAUAGCAAACUAUUCUUUUGCCUUUUGCUAAAGAAUACCUGUGGCUGUUGCACAAAGUGGCAUAGGUCAAAUUG
rnacentral:snRNA from 1 species